GAUGAACGCUGGCGGCGUGCCUAAUACAUGCAAGUCGAGCGAACAGACGAGGAGCUUGCUCCUCUGACGUUAGCGGCGGACGGGUGAGUAACACGUGGAUAACCUACCUAUAAGACUGGGAUAACUUCGGGAAACCGGAGCUAAUACCGGAUAAUAUAUUGAACCGCAUGGUUCAAUAGUGAAAGACGGUUUUGCUGUCACUUAUAGAUGGUUCCGCGCCGCAUUAGCUAGUUGGUAAGGUAACGGCUUACCAAGGCAACGAUGCGUAGCCGACCUGAGAGGGUGAUCGGCCACACUGGAACUGAGACACGGUCCAGACUCCUACGGGAGGCAGCAGUAGGGAAUCUUACGCAAUGGGCGAAAGCCUGACGGAGCAACGCCGCGUGAGUGAUGAAGGUCUUCGGAUCGUAAAACUCUGUUAUUAGGGAAGAACAAAUGUGUAAGUAACUAUGCACGUCUUGACGGUACCUAAUCAGAAAGCAACGGCUAACUACGUG
rnacentral:rRNA from 1 species